rnacentral:rRNA from 1 species
CCUACGGGUGGCAGCAGUGGGGAAUAUUGCACAAUGGGGGAAACCCUGAUGCAGCGACGCCGCGUGAGCGAAGAAGUAUUUCGGUAUGUAAAGCUCUAUCAGUAGGGAAGAAAAUGACGGCACCUGAGUAAGAUGCUCUGGCGCAAUACGUGCCAGCAGCCGCGGUACUACGCAGGGAGCAAGCGUUAUCCGGAUUUACUGGGCGUAAAGGGAGCGUAGGCGGGCUGCCAAGUCUGAUGUGAAAUACUGGGGCUCAACCCGGGGGCUGCAGUGGAAACUGGAAGGCUUGAGUGCGUGAGAGGCAGGCGGAAUGCGUGGUGUAGCGGUGAAAUGCGUAGAUAUUGGGAAGAACUCCGGUUGCGAAGGCAGCAUGCUGGACGGUGACUGACGCUGAGGCACGAAAGCGUGGGGAUCGAACAGGAUUAGAUACCCUAGUAGUC